GAGCUCUGUUCAUUCACAGAGUGAGCACAAAGCUGUCAGGCAUCCUGCCGCUUUCAUCCUGACCGAAGUCGGCUGUUUCAUAAUACAUUGCAUUGAACUGCUCUGUCUUAGAGUGAAAAAUGAUUCAGUUACCACAGUAACACAGCUCUGCGUUUCUUCCCUAGCAGAGAAGGUUAACUGGGCUGUCUAAUGCAUGUUGGUUUCAAGGUGCGAACAAGGGAACAACAACAACCGAGUUAAGAACACAGAAGUUCAUUUUAGUUACUGUAAGGGCCACAGUCAGAAAAGCACCUGCAUCCUAAAGCUGCAUCCUCUUUGGGUGCUGUCAUCUCUGUUUUCUCUGUCUUGUGCUAAAUGUAGUGCUGAUGGCUAACAACACACAACUGCAUUCUGACUUCCCUGUAAACUCUACACAGGGCCUUAUUCAGCCAACAAGCAUAACAAGCUUUCUCCUGAUCCUGUGCCCUUGGCAGAGAUGUUGAACUCUCACACUUAACUUUAAGCAGAGUGCUUAGCACAGCCCAUAGUACAUGGAGCUCUUAAGAGAGAUAAUAUUUUCUGCAGCAAAAAAAUGCAAACUAUAUACUUAGCUUCCCUUCAGCAUAUACUGGAGCCUGGAAAUAGUCAUUCUCUCCUCCAGAAUGGAAAAGAUGAGAAUUCAUUGGUGUAUUGUGCCAUAAUGAUAGAUACUUUCAUUUAUGAUAAAAUAAUGAGAAAAAUUAUGCGCUUAUUUCACGGAUGGGAUCUUUUAAAAGCAGUUGGGGUCCUUAAGCCUGAAUUUCUUCUUGGUUCUGGGAUGUAUAAGUCGAGUCAGUUGAGCACUGAGCAUAUCACUGAGAUAACUUGCUUUACGGAGCAAAAAUGCAUCAUAUUUGUCACAGGUUUAUAAAUAAUGAGUAUUUUGAGCAUUCUGACAGAUCAACAUCUGCCUGAUCUGCCUCUUCUUGAGUGUAGUGGUCAGACAGUCUCAAAGAGGCAACCUUAGGAGGAAGGCUUCAGUGGCAGCAACACUUUCUUCUUACAGCUUUCAGUGAUGCUUCCUGUGUGAACAGCAGUGGGAGAGGGAGGAAGAAAGGGCCCAAUAUUUAAAGGCAGAGUAAAAUUACUAAGUCUUCAUAUUCCUCUAUAUACAGCAACUAGAUCACAGAGGAGAAAAAACACAAGGGAGAACUAGAAAGAUCAUUUGUCUUCUACUGCUUUUAGCUUCAGAAGACCAACCACCAAAGCUACAUUAGCAUUUUAGCGCAGAUUAGGAGGGGGCUUUUAAAGCCAGUCUCUCGCUGUGCCUCAUCUCCCAUGACUUGGCUGUGUGGAGAAACAGUUAACAGACACAUAGACUGGAUCCUUUUGAGUGGUAAUUACCAGAAGAUAUACUCUUAGGGCACAGCAUGAAGUGUACCUCUCGAUCUACAGGAAUAGGCUAAAGUUAAUCUGAAAUAAGACAUCUUGAAAUUUGUAUAUACCAGGACCUCAGCACCAACUGUUCUGUUGUACAAGUCUGAAUCUACGGGCACUACAACUUGUCAAUGUAAGUAUAGCCCAAGAUGUGGAGACUAAAAUUAGGCAUCAAUACAAGUAACUACAUAAUUUUGGUUUCUAAUUCGUGAAACAGCAGUUCUCCUCAGCCUCACUACAUGGGAACUGCUGAAUCACAGCCUGAACCUCUGAUUGAUCACCUGAGGCGAGCAGUGAGUCAGCCAUGGGAGCACAGGUGAAGGCAAUUCACCUGUGCUGCCAGAAGGGAUGGAGCCUGCCUGCACCCCUCCUAGACCCAUUUAAGAGCUGGCUACCAGUAGGGAAGGAUCUCUUCUGGAGGUCUGCUCUGCUGUAGUUUUGUAAGUGAGCCCAGAAUACAGAGGAGCAAGCACCAUGAUCAAGCCUGACAUGAGCUCAGCGGAGCCACUGGACAGGUUUCACAUCUCCUACAUCUCCUUUUCCUUUAUUACUGUGGACAGCUUGUAGCACAUUACUCUCUGAGAGUGGUGCUGGUUUAGUGUGAUGAAGGUAUAGGACAGGAAAAUGCUAUGUUUAUUCUUUCACGUGGCUUUGUAGAACUCAAGAGGACAGUAAACAUACCGAUUACUUGCAUGGGUGGUUCCACAUCUGUUGUGGCUUCUUCCAGCAGUGACAGCAGCUUGGCUGAUAUUUGAUGGACCGAUUCGAUGUUGCUAAACAAGCCAUCCACAUCAAAGCGGGCGAUCUAAUGGAAUACAAAUAUUAAGCAGCUACUGAGGAAGGAUGAAGAAGGACAUUGUACUUUACAGACCUUCUCUUAAUAAGGCUUUCGUGUUCAGCAUUCCAGGAAGCGUAAUUUCUGCAAAAUGUAAUAUAAACAUCCUCCUUGUGACUUUUGGGAUGCAUACAGUUUUCAGAUCAGUAGAAUUGGGUUGACACAGUUAACAAAGGGUGUUUUAUCAAGUGAUUUUAAUGCUAUUUUGAACUACUGGUUCCUAAUCUGAAAGUGUUUACGUAGGAAGGAAAUUAUAUUAUCAUCUGAAUGAAGAAAAGUUAUUUAUCUGGCUUUAAAAUGUUGAUUUUUUUUUAUUUUUUUUUUUCCCCAUUGAGAAGAAGAAUAGUUGGCAGGGGAUUUGAUUCCUUGUUUUCCAGUUGUUCAUGGAAGCUGCUAUGUGAACUGGGACCUUGGUGCUGUAGUGCCAGCCAUGAGGAAAGUGAUGCUCGCUUCCAGCUGAAGGAGUACCGAGGAGAGUUUGAUCAAGGUGUGUCUAGACUCAUCCCAGCUGAGCUCUAGGUGGCUGCAUGGCUGUCUCACCAACCUGCCCUUUGAAAGCAACACCUUGCUUCCCCUUAUCUGAAAUGGAGCUGGUGACAAUUGGUUAUCUCACAGGAUGAGCUGAAAUGGGUGCAUUCAGGUUAGUCAAGCUCUUGGAGAAUAUAAUGGUUACUUUGCACCUUGCUUCCUUUAUCAACAGGAGGAAAAGGGGGAGGCAUUGCAUGUGCAUUCACACCUGAGAAGGUAUUGAAUAGACGUAUCUAGGAUAAUAAUCAACCUGAAAAUGGUUACUUGCAUUUUUUAAUGAAUCCUUCAUUUUGAAGUGAAAAACACUUGCAAAGGUUUGCACUUUGACAGUGCUAUUAUUGUUCUUAUGUUUGUGGACUUACAGAGCAAGCCACCUUGAUUGCCAUGGGUGUCUGGCUGGUGGAUCCCUUUCCCCACCCUCUUUUAGAAAGCAGUUUGGAUUCCGUAUAGAACAAAAUUCGCAGGAAGUCCACUGGGGUGCAAAGAUACCUAACUCCUCGUGCUCAGCCUGGGUUGAUUUUCAUUGGCAGGGUCCUGCAGGCUCUGGCAGGACCAUGCUUCUCACUGGAAACCUGUCCUGCUCAUGUGAGAUUCACAUCUGCAGUUUGCUCCCUGUCCUCCACAUCUUUGUUUGUGAAGUGCUUACUACAGCUCUGCAGACCACCUGUUAGAAAACACGUUAACAGGAAACUAUGGGGAGUUAACUAAACAUGGAGCUUUCCAAAUACGUGCCUCCAAUUCAUGUAGAACCAGAUGCAAGCACAAACUAUUGUCACUUGAAUCUUUUUGCAAAACACUUACCAUUUCACAGCCAUCAGAGACUCCAGACCUGACAAUAUGCAACAGAAUGUUUGCAUCACCAACAUAACUGUUUGCUUUUCUUACCGAGGUAGGAGAACUGAAAAGUUUUGUGCCAGGACAAAGGGAAAUAGUUUUAAACUAAAGCUAAAAUGGAGAGAUUUAGACUGGACAUAAGGAAGAAGCGGUUUACACUAAGAAUGAUGAGGCACUGGCACAGGUUGCCCAGAAAGAUGAUGGUUGCCCCAUUCCUGAAGAGAUCCAAGGUCAGGCUGGAGGGGUUCUGAGCACCUGAUGAAGCUGUAGGUGUCCCUCUUCAUUGCAGAGGGUUGGACCACAUGGCCCUUAAAGGUCCCUUCCAACUCAAACAGUUCUGUGAUUUUACAAACAAAAACACUUCCCUCAAUACUAAUUGUAUUUAAGCACUGAUAAAAAAAAAUGAAAAACAUACAAGGAGUACCUCAUUGGCAUCAAUGGAUAACAGAUUAGGUCUGGGACCUGUGAUCUUCAUCAGAUGCAGGCACAUCUGGAUCACCACACUUAGAUCCAGAUCAGGCCUUUGCACACAGCUCCAUGUCUUUCCACUAAUAAUAUAAAUACCCUUCAUAGGAAUUCCUACCCACUUUGUAUUUUUACUCUGAGGACAGGCAACUUCUGAUUGAAUGCAAAGCCUGCAGGUGCCUCAUUACCCACCAGCAUUUUUCUGGUGCAGACAUAAGCAUGCACAGCAAGCCAGCACUGGGUGGGCACUCUGCCAUCUGUGGCCGCAGCAGCCUCAGCUGGAGGUGGGAGCUGCAAAGCCGGAUUUACCACCAUGCUGGCCCAUGGCCAUCAGCGUAACCUCACACACUGCCAUGCCAGCCAAGGCUUCCCUGCCUCCUUUGCUCCAGACUUCUAGCAAGAGACAGUCCCGGAAUGAGUGCACCGUGUGGGAGAGGAAGGGCUGGUGCAUUUGGCUGGAUCCCACUCUACAACCAGAGCUGACAUGGGCAGUCCACUGCACAAGCAAAACUGCUGUUCCAGAGACACACACCUACGUGUGCCGGGAGCUUGGCCACGCGGCCGCAUCGAUUCUCACUCACACCCGAAGCACCUCUGCCAGAGCCAUGCCCGACUUCACUGAACAUCUUUCAUCUCCCCAUUGAUUAGUUGUCACGAGGAGGCAACGCUGUAAUCAGUGAAGCUCUCAGUUGCUGUCAGCAUAUGCAGCCCCCAUAUAAAUCCUAUUAUUUUCUAGUUUAUUAUUUUAUUUUCUGCUUUUAUUGUCUCUCUGAAA